GCCCUUUACUCCGGGAUAGUCUCCUGAAAGGGAGUUUAAUACCGGAUGUGUUUGUCUUUCCGCAUGGGAGCGACAAAUAAAGAUUAAUUGGUAAAGGAUGGGGAUGCGUCCCAUUAGCUUGUUGGCGGGGUAACGGCCCACCAAGGCGACGAUGGGUAGGGGUUCUGAGAGGAAGGUCCCCCACAUUGGAACUGAGACACGGUCCAAACUCCUACGGGAGGCAGCAGUGAGGAAUAUUGGUCAAUGGGCGGGAGCCUGAACCAGCCAAGUAGCGUGAAGGACGACGGCCCUACGGGUUGUAAACUUCUUUUAUAAGGGAAUAAAGUUCGCCACGUGUGGUGUUUUGUAUGUACCUUAUGAAUAAGCAUCGGCUAAUUCCGUGCCAGCAGCCGCGGUAAUACGGAAGAUGCGAGCGUUAUCCGGAUUUAUUGGGUUUAAAGGGAGCGCAGACGGGCUUUUAAGUCAGCGGUCAAAUGUCGUGGCUCAACCAUGUCAAGCCGUUGAAACUGUAAGCCUUGAGUCUGCACAGGGCACAUGGAAUUCGUGGUGUAGCGGUGAAAUGCUUAGAUAUCACGAAGAACUCCGAUCGCGAAGGCAUUGUGCCGGGGCAUAACUGACGCUGAGGCUCGAAAGUGCGGGUAUCAAACAGGAUUAGAUACCCUGGUAGUCCGCACGGUAAACGAUGAAUGCUCGCUAUGGGCGAUAUAUUGUCCGUGGCCAAGCGAAAGCGUUAAGCAUUCCACCUGGGGAGUACGCCGGCAACGGUGAAACUCAAAGGAAUUGACGGGGGCCCGCACAAGCGGAGGAACAUGUGGUUUAAUUCGAUGAUACGCGAGGAACCUUACCCGGGCUUGAAUUGCAGGUGCAUGAGUCAGAGACGGCUCUUUCCUUCGGGACUCCUGUGAAGGUGCUGCAUGGUUGUCGUCAGCUCGUGCCGUGAGGUGUCGGCUUAAGUGCCAUAACGAGCGCAACCCUUCUCCCCAGUUGCCAUCGGGUAAUGCCGGGCCCUCUGGGGACACUGCCAUCGUAAGAUGCGAGGAAGGUGGGGAUGACGUCAAAUCAGCACGGCCC
rnacentral:rRNA from 1 species